UUGAGGCCAUACCACGUUGAAACACCGGUUCUGGAACGAUCACCGAAGUUAAGCAACGACGAGCCUGGUCAGUACCUAGAUGGGUGACCGCUUAUGAAUACCAUGU